rnacentral:rRNA from 1 species
AGGCGUAAUCGAUGGGAAGCAGGUUAAUAUUCCUGCACGACUUGUAAUUGCGAUGGGGGGACGGAGAAGGCUAGGUGGGCCAGGCGACGGUUGUCCUGGUGAAAGUGCGUAGGUGGUGUUUCCAGGCAAAUCCGGAGACACAACACUGAGACACGAGACGAACGCACCACGGUGCGGAAGCCAUUGAUGCCCUGCUUCCAGGAAAAGCCUCUAAGCUUCAGAUUACAAGUCAUCGUACCCCAAAC